rnacentral:rRNA from 1 species
AGUCACUGACAUUAGAUACCCGUGUAGUCCAGGGUGUAAACGCUGCAGACUUGGUGUUGGAAGUCCUUUGGGGGGCAUUCAGUGCCGGAGAGAAGUUGUUAAGUCUGCUACUUGGGGAGUACGUCCGCAAGGAUGAAACUUAAAGGAAUUGGCGGGGGAGCACCGCAACGGGAGGAGCGUGCGGUUUAAUUGGAUUCAACACCGUAAAACUCACCAGGGAAGACUGUUACAUGAAGGCCGAGAUGAAGACUCUGCUAGAUUUUCAG